rnacentral:tRNA from 1 species
UCAGCAAGUAGUUUAAUAAAAAAUUUUAAUUUUGGAAAUUAAAGAUAUGCUAUAUUUUUGCUGAU